rnacentral:rRNA from 1 species
AUUGAACGCUGGCGGCAGGCCUAACACAUGCAAGUCGAGCGGAUGAGAAGAGCUUGCUCUUCGAUUCAGCGGCGGACGGGUGAGUAAUGCCUAGGAAUCUGCCUGGUAGUGGGGGACAACGUUUCGAAAGGAACGCUAAUACCGCAUACGUCCUACGGGAGAAAGCAGGGGACCUUCGGGCCUUGCGCUAUCAGAUGUGCCUAGGUCGGAUUAGCUAGUUGGUGAGGUAAUGGCUCACCAAGGCGACGAUCCGUAACUGGUCUGAGAGGAUGAUCAGUCACACUGGAACUGAGACACGGUCCAGACUCCUACGGGAGGCAGCAGUGGAGAAUAUUGGACAAUGGGCGAAAGCCUGAUCCAGCCAUGCCGCGUGUGUGAAGAAGGUCUUCGGAUUGUAAAGCACUUUAAGUUGGGAGGAAGGGCAGUAAGUUAAUACCUUGCUGUUUUGACGUUACCGACAGAAUAAGCACCGGCUAACUCUGUGCCAGCCGCCGCGGUAACAC